UACGAAGGGGGCUAGCGUUGUUCGGAUUUACUGGGCGUAAAGCGCAUGUAGGCGGACCAUUAAGUUGGGGGUGAAAUCCCGAGGCUCAACCUCGGAAUUGCCUCCAAAACUGUUGGUCUGGAGCAGAAGAGAGGCGAGUGGAAUUCCGAGUGUAGAGGUGAAAUUCGUAGAUAUUCGGAGGAACACCAGUGGCGAAGGCGACUCGCUGGCUUCUUGCUGACGCUGAGAUGCGAGAGCGUGGGGAGCAAACAGG
rnacentral:rRNA from 1 species